UGACAUCAUGCACAUCAUGGCUUGAAUACAGACCAGCUUAAUUCUAAAAGGAGAAUAUUUCUUCACUGCCACAUUCUUGAGAAUGUGUGAUCCUGAAAUAAAAAAUAUAGAGACCACUGAGGGAAAAGAAACAGGUGAUGCUUCCAAGAGUGAAGGGGGCACAUAAGAACGCAUGGCACACACAACAAGGAGUAUGAAGCUGAAGAAGGUGGGAAGCCCCAUUUCUUAAAAUUAAAGCUUAUCCCUGGACUUA